rnacentral:tRNA from 1 species
UAGCUUAGUGGUCAGAGCAUUGGUGGGUAAAGCCAAAGGUAUCGGGUUCGAUUCCCGG